AUUGAACGCUGGCGGCAUGCCUUACACAUGCAAGUCGAACGGUAACAGGUCUUCGGAUGCUGACGAGUGGCGAACGGGUGAGUAAUACAUCGGAACGUGCCCGAUCGUGGGGGAUAACGGAGCGAAAGCUUUGCUAAUACCGCAUACGAUCUACGGAUGAAAGCAGGGGACCGCAAGGCCUUGCGCGAACGGAGCGGCCGAUGGCAGAUUAGGUAGUUGGUGGGAUAAAAGCUUACCAAGCCGACGAUCUGUAGCUGGUCUGAGAGGACGACCCGCCACACUGGGACUGAGACACGGCCCAGACGCCUACGGGAGGCAGCAGUGGGGAAUUUUGGACAAUGGGCGCAAGCCUGAUCCAACAAUGCCGCGUGCAGGAUGAAGGCCUUCGGGUUGUAAACUGCUUUUGUACGGAACGAAAGGCUCUGGUUAAUACCUGGGGCUCAUGACGGUACCGUAAGAAUAAGCACCGGCUAACUACGUGCCAGCAGCCGCGGUAAUAC
rnacentral:rRNA from 1 species